UCAUUUGGCGCAUACAUCUGUCCCGUGCGCCGCCCUAGCGCUGGCCAGUGCGCGCGCGCCGUCGCUGCGCAGACUUGACCAGUCGAGCUGCUCCGCACCCUGUGCCUUGCCUCCUCUCUCCAUACGUGCACGCCACCGCGAGCCUCGUUCACACGCUCCCCUCUCUGUCCCAUUCACCACUAUCCUGCCCUACCCCGCUCCAGCUCGAUCGUCCGUCCACCACUCCCAUGGAUGCACCGGCCCCGGCAAAUAAAAGAGAGCCCAAAGCUCCCGCUAUAUCCUAGCACACAACCCACCCUCUAUUUCUAUCUGGACAGAGCCAGAACAACGCUGCACUCCAUCCUCUGCCUUCUCUCGACCGGCUUGGGAGUCAGCCAUGGGCGCUUCGUCGUCGCGGUCACCACACCGUGGAGGACAAAGCUACAGACCGCCACACCACCUCUGCACCUUCUAGUUCUUUCAACCUUCGCUGCUCCCUCUCUCCUAGCUAAUCUGCCUCCUUUCUUGCCCAGGCAACCGUUGGGAGGACGCCGACGUUGACGCUUGGUCCGUGCAGCUCCGCCAACUCGCCCAGGUCGCCGAGCCGAGCAGAUGACAUGCACACGCCCCUGCACCGCCAGCGUGUCUCCCCCUUCAUCGCCGGCCGCACCUCCCGAAGCUCGCUCAGGACCGGCACCGUCGAGUUCGUCCGUGGCAACUUGGAGCUCGCCUCCGACCCCGUCGACGUCCAGAACGCUGUGCAUGCUCGUGGCGUCCGGACAGAGCCUUCGCAGUCCCCCUUCGCGUUCUGGUAAGGCCCCCGUCGCCCCCGCAACCCCUACAUGCAGACGUCGCCGUCGUCGCGUUCGCCGCAGCACCGGCGGACCAGGUCGGCGUCCGCAUCGUCGCUCGGCGUUUCGCCGCGCGCCGAGCCGCGCAAGCCAGGGUCGCCGCAGUCCGACCCUGAUGCUACACACCGUUGUUCCAACCAUCGAUGAUCUUAUGUCUUUGUGCCAGCGGUGCCAGAAAAUGUAGCUACUUGCUUGACACUGAGGUACUGAAAGUACACAUGCUACUACAGUUACUACAAACUAUACGACAGUUAGAGCCGAUGGGAGAUGAUUCUAAGAAUAAGAGCCGGAAGACAAGGAGACUAAUGUGCAAUCAAGACUUAGCGAAGAUGUGGCGUUGAGGUUCAGAAUGGUUCAUCCAGUUCCCAAGACUGUUACUUGCCUGUAAAAUUCUAUUUGAAUGUGUUUUUCCCCUUUUAGCAAGAUAUUAUAGUCUAAAUUUUUAUUUUUCGUUCAACUCA